rnacentral:rRNA from 1 species
UACGUAGGGGGCUAGCGUUGUCUGGAUUUAUUGGGCGUAAAGAGCGUGUAGGCGCCAGGUAGGUCUGCUGUGAAAACUCGAGGCUUAACCUCGAGAUGUCGGCGGAAACCAUCUGGCUAGGAGUCCGGAAGAGGAGAGUGGAAUUCCUGGUGUAGCGGUGAAAUGCGCAGAUAUCAGGAAGAACACCCGUGGCGAAGGCGGCUCUCUGGGACGGUACUGACGCUGAGACGCGAAAGCGUGGGGAGCGAACGG